AAGAUAUUUCUAGAAAUAAGAGAUGAUGAUGAUGUUUUCAGAAAUAUAAUUAAAUAAUUAAAAAAAAUUAAUGAUUCAGAUAAAUAAGAGCAGAGACUCUUCAUUUUAAUCAUCUCCUUGAUUUUCCUCUUCGGUAUGAUAAAUCUGCAUAAGGACACUCAAGUCGAAAGAAUAAACUCGAAGGUCCUAUUCCUGAAACUCCUGGCCUGAGGAGAUUGCUGAAGAGUCAUCAAAGGAAUAAUACGGAUUUGUGUGAUGGGUUAGAGGAAUACCUUAUUCAAUAUCACCUGAAAAUCCACCUAAAGCACCUGAUGAAAAGAAAAUGAAUGGCUUUAAUAAUGUUCGAAUGGGGCAGUAAUAACUUAAGUAUAGACAACGUUGAUUUUUGUUAUUGCGGCGGAACUUGAGAUAGAUCAUGCAAAGAAAAAUAUAGAUGCUCGUUAUAUUGUUGACGAAAAUACGGCUUCAAUGGUUAUUAGAAAUGAAAUUGGUGUUAAGAUUUACGUUGAGUUAAAAAAAUCUUUAUAGAUUUUGUAAUGUAUCCGUUAUGCAUUACAACAAGCGAUAAAUCGACAGAAGAUUGAGAAUUUAAUGCUGAAACUGGUGCGAUGAUGUGCGUCGAAGGAACAGAAUCAGAUGCAACUGCACUUGCCGUUGUUGAGUAAAAUAAUCAGUACUCUUUUUAUGUACCAGAAAUUAAAACUAGGAAAUUCAUUAUCGAUUGCUAAAACACUGAGUUUAAGGUCAAACAGUUGUAUAAGGAUAAGAAAACUCUUAAAGCUGUAAUGAAAAAGUAUGCAUUAGAUCACAGUUUUAAUUUUUGAGCAUCAAGAUCUGAUAAAAAAAGGUAUUAUAAACUAUGUUGUUUUUGUUUU